GUGAAUUGCAGAAUCACGUGAACCAUCGAGUCUUUGAACGCAAGUUGCGCCCGAAGCCCUCGUGGCCAGGGCAUGUCUGUCUAGGCAUCACGC
rnacentral:rRNA from 1 species